AAAAAAGCUCAUUUAAUACAACCCACUAAACUCGUCUCCUUCUUUUAUUAAACAUCGAAUCACGUUGACAAAAAAAAAAAACACCAAUACAUAACAAACAGAGCAAGAAAAAAAAAAACAUUAAGGGUAAUGCCCUUCUUCAAAAUAAUAUGUGUGCUUUGAUUACAUGUUUGUUAACAUUGUUGAUUAAAUGAACUAAUGACAAUGUCUUCAUCGGGUGUUAAAAGGAAGGAAAUAAGUUACACAAUUUCUGUUGAGUGGAUGAAGGACAAACUACUUUCUGCACAUGCACCCGUUGUGAUCAUCUAGAAUUAAAUUGGAAACUGUGUAUGAACAAAUUGUCUCCUUGGCUGAAUUGUGCUCCCAUUUUCUACCAAACCAUAAUUUAGAGUAUUGACUAUGUAAGUGGAAGUUUGGAUUCUAUAUGUAGCUUGUAGAUGAAAGAUUUCCUGGAAAUGUAUACUAAAAAUGACUUGGAAUUC